rnacentral:rRNA from 1 species
CGGAGGGUGCGAGCGUUGUCGGAAUUAUUGGGCGUAAAGCGCGUGUAGGCGGCUCCUUAAGUCUGAUGUGAAAGCCCCGGGCUCAACCUGGGAAGUGCAUUGGAAACUGGGGAACUUGAAUACGGGAGAGGGUAGUGGAAUUCCUGGUGUAGGAGUGAAAUCCGUAGAUAUCAGGAGGAACACCGGUGGCGAAGGCGGCUACCUGGACCGAUAUUGACGCUGAGACGCGAAAGCGUGGGGAGCAAACAGGAUUAGAUACCCUGGUAGUCCACGCCGUAAACGAUGAGUACUAGGUGUUGCGGGUAUUGACCCCUGCAGUGCCGCAGCUAACGCAUUAAGUACUCCGCCUGGGAAGUACGGUCGCAAGACUA